rnacentral:rRNA from 1 species
CAAAAGCCGUCUCAGUUCGGAUUGCACUCUGCAACUCGGGUGCAUGAAGGCGGAAUCGCUAGUAAUCGUGGAUCAGCACGCCACGGUGAAUACGUUCCCGGGCCUUGUACACACCGCCCGUCACACCAUGGGAGUUGGUCUUACCCGACGGCGCUGCGCCAACCGCAAGGGGGCAGGCGACCACGGUAGGGUCAGCGACUGGGGUGAAGUCGUAACAAGGUAGCCGUAGGGGAACCUGCGGCUGGAUCACCUCCUUUCUAAGG